UACGGGGGGGGCAAGCGUUGUUCGGAAUUACUGGGCGUAAAGGGCUCGUAGGCGGCCAACUAAGUCAGACGUGAAAUCCCUCGGCUUAACCGGGGAACUGCAUCUGAUACUGGAUGGCUUGAGUUCGGGAGAGGGAUGCGGAAUUCCAGGUGUAGCGGUGAAAUGCGUAGAUAUCUGGAGGAACACCGGUGGCGAAGGCGGCCAUCUGGACGGAUACUGACGCUGAGACGCGAAAGCGUGGGGAGCAAACAGG
rnacentral:rRNA from 1 species